rnacentral:rRNA from 1 species
GAUGAACGCUGGCGGCGUGCCUAAUACAUGCAAGUCGAGCGAACAGAUGAGGAGCUUGCUCCUCUGACGUUAGCGGCGGACGGGUGAGUAACACGUGGAUAACCUACCUAUAAGACUGGGAUAACUUCGGGAAACCGGAGCUAAUACCGGAUAAUAUAUUGAACCGCAUGGUUCAAUAGUGAAAGACGGCUUUGCUGUCACUUAUAGAUGGAUCCGCGCCGCAUUAGCUAGUUGGUAAGGUAACGGCUUACCAAGGCAACGAUGCGUAGCCGACCUGAGAGGGUGAUCGGCCACACUGGAACUGAGACACGGUCCAGACUCCUACGGGAGGCAGCAGUAGGGAAUCUUCCGCAAUGGGCGAAAGCCUGGCGGAGCAACGCCGCGUGAGUGAUGAAGGUCUUCGGAUCGUAAAACUCUGUUAUUAGGGAAGAACAAAUGUGUAAGUAACUAUGCACGUCUUGACGGUACCUAAUCAGAAAGCCACGGCUAACUACGUG